GAAUUCACAAAAUCCAAAUAUAAAACCUUUAUCUCUAUGAUCACAGUCUUACCGCCGACAACCAUAACUCAUUCAGGCACUAAUCACAAUAACAAAAGAGCUUAUUUGUGGUAUCAGAUUCGACAAGAUGCUCCUCCACUUCCUCAGCCCUUCUUCCUUUCCUGUGGAGUCACCAUAUCUGACUCCAAAAUCUUCCUGUUCUAAAAUCAACAAACAUAUAUGUCCAUCUAAAGCCGUCAAAAUGGGUCACAACCCGCGAGUCAACCCAGC
rnacentral:lncRNA from 1 species